rnacentral:rRNA from 1 species
UUCGGUAUGUACUGGCUUUACUGAUUCCUCCUUCUUGACGAACCGUGAUGUCAUUAAUUUGGUGUUGCGGGAAAUCAGGACUGUUACUUUGAAAAAAUUAGAGUGUUUAAAGCAGGCUAACGCUUGAAUACAUUAGCAUGGAAUAAUGAAAUAGGACGUUAAUCCUAUUUUGUUGGUUUCUAGGAUCGACGUAAUGAUUAAUAGGGAUAGUUGGGGGCAUUAGUAUUCAAUUGUCAGAGGUGAAAUUCUUGGAUUUAUUGAAGACUAACUACUGCGAAAGCAUUUGCCAAGGAUGUUUUCAUUAAUCAAGAACGAAAGUUAGGGGAUCGAAAACAAUCAGAUACCGUCGUAGUCUUAACCAUAAACUAUGCCAGACUAGGGAUCGGAUGAUGUUAAUUUUUUAAUG